AUUGAACGCUGGCGGCAGGCCUAACACAUGCAAGUCGAGCGGCAGCGGAAGGAAGCUUGCUUUCUUGCCGGCGAGCGGCGGACGGGUGAGUAAGGUAUGGGGAUCUGGCCGAAGGCGGGGGAUAACCACUGGAAACGGUGGCUAAUACCGCAUAAUCUCUAAGGAGCAAAGUGGGGGACCGUUCAGGCCUCACACCUUCGGAUGAACCCAUAUGAGAUUAGCUAGUAGGUGGGGUAAUGGCUCACCUAGGCGACGAUCUCUAGCUGGUCUGAGAGGAUGAUCCGCCAAACUGGGACUGAGACACGGCCCAGACUCCUACGGGAGGCAGCAGUGGGGAAUAUUGCACAAUGGGCGCAAGCCUGAUGCAGCCAUGCCGGGUGUAUGAAGAAGGCCUUCGGUUUGUAAAGUACUUUCAGUCGUGAGGAAGGUGUUAAGGUUAAUAACCUUAGCAAUUGACGUUAGCGACAGAAGAAGCACCGGCUAACUCCGUGCCAGCCGCCGCCGUAA
rnacentral:rRNA from 1 species